GACGAACGCUGGCGGCGUGCUUAACACAUGCAAGUCGAACGGAAAGGCCCUGCUUUUGUGGGGUGCUCGAGUGGCGAACGGGUGAGUAACACGUGAGUAACCUGCCCUUGACUUUGGGAUAACUUCAGGAAACUGGGGCUAAUACCGGAUAGGAGCUCCUGCUGCAUGGUGGGGGUGGGAAAGUUUCGGCGGUUGGGGAUGGACUCGCGGCUCAUCAGCUUGUUGGUGGGGUAGUGGCUUACCAAGGCUUUGACGGGUAGCCGGCCUGAGCGGGUGACCGGCCACAUUGGGACUGAGAUACGGCCCAGACUCCUACGGGAGGCAGCAGUGGGGAAUAUUGCGCAAUGGGCGGAAGCCUGGUGCAGUGACGCCGCGUGCGGGAUGACGGCCUUCGGGUUGUAAACCGCUUUCGCCUGUGACGAGGCGUGAGUGACGGUAAUGGGUAAAGAAGCACCGGCUAACUACGUG
rnacentral:rRNA from 1 species